rnacentral:rRNA from 1 species
CGGCCCAGACUCCUACGGGAGGCAGCAGUGGGGAAUAUUGCACAAUGGAGGAAACUCUGAUGCAGCCAUGCCGCGUGUGUGAAGAAGGCCUUAGGGUUGUAAAGCACUUUCAAUGGGGAGGAAAGGUUGUAAAUUAAUACUUUAUAACUGUGACGUUACCCAUACAAGAAGCACCGGCUAACUCCGUGCCAGCAGCCGCGGUAAUACGGAGGGAGCUAGCGUUGUUCGGAAUUACUGGGCGUAAAGCGCGCGUAGGCGGAUUUGUCAGUCAGAUGUGAAAGCCCUGGGCUCAACCUAGGAAUUGCAUUUGAUACUGCGAGUCUAGAGUAUGGUAGAGGUGAGUGGAAUUCCAGGUGUAGCGGUGAAAUGCGUAGAUAUCUGGAGGAACAUCAGUGGCGAAGGCGACUCACUGGAUCAAUACUGACGCUGAGGUGCGAAAGCGUGGGGAGCAAACAGG